UUAGACAUGUCCUGUGAGUGAAAAUCCUCUCGGGGUAUGAGUCUUUAUUCAGCUCAGCUAAAUUGUCUUCAAGUUAGUUCAGGAAAGUGUGUUGACUUCUGAAUUCAAAGUCACUAGUAUCAGCAAUUGGACCCCGUCUCCCACUUCUGUGCCUUCAGCCCAGGAGGCUCAUUAAUUACAACAUCUUUUCCUCUUGAGCCAAUACCUUGCCUCGGAGUUCUUCUCAUCACAGCCUGCCCCUGCCCUAGGAGGAGAGUUGGCUCCUGAGAUGAAACCUCUUUAUUCUCCCUGGCUCAUCGUGUGGACCUUUGAAGAUGCUGGUAGGUGGAGACAGUGGGCUCUAUGACAUGCCCACCUGAAAGACCUUCUAGUCUAGAGAAAGGGUUCAGGCAGCAUGAGAAACCAUUAGGGGAUGUUAUUGUGGGCAGGAGUUAGUUUGGAUCUUUCUCAUGGUGGUUUGAAUCCCUGUAACAGCCCUGUUUUAACCAUGCAGUGUGUGACAGAGUGCUGUGGAAGAUAGGUCGAAGUGAUCAAUGGCAUCUGACUUUUCAACAGAUACGUAUUGGAAAGUCCGUUGUCUUUUGCAUCAUCAUUUUGUGUUGGCUCCAGUCUGAGGCUAUUUGUAAUUUACAGUACAUGGCAUUAGGCUUUGGACCUCACAGUUUCAGGGCCAUCCAAACUUUGGGAGUUGUCAUUUAGUGCCCCAGAUAGCUCUCUGAUGGGAGCAUCUUUGAAGACUGGGCUGAGAGUGGGUGGAGAUGGGAGUAAUUUUGUAUUUGAUGACACAGAGAAGGAAAUAGUUUCUAUAUGUACAUAAACAUAAGCAUAACAUAUGUGUAAUUUCUAUGGAUUUUUGAAGGCAUUUAUUACUCUAUAUGUGCCCUCUUUGAAAUUUAUGGUAAGAAUAUGGCAAAGGAGAAAAAUAUAUUAACAUUUGGGGUUUCAUUGUGUUCAUAAAAGGCUGUUGUCAAAUCCCCUGACUUUUUACAAUGAAGGGAAAUGUCCCUAGUGAUGGAGCAUCAGGGUUUCGGGAUGAAUCUUUAGAAUUUGAGCAGCCCUGCAAGGCACCGGGCUCAUCUCUGUUCCCCAGCUCAGUUAUGCACAAAGGUCCUUUUCUAGGUGACAUAUCAUGUUGUAUUCCAAAGUACACUUUCUUUUAAUUUACAACUUAAUUUUCAACCUAAUUCAGAAGAUUGAUACUAUAAUGCUAUUUGCAGAAGUAUUGAAAUGUCAGUAAGUUUUAUUGUAGUAAUAAAGAGUAUUCCAUAUAUCACACACUCUAUAGGGAUCCUUGCUUUUUGCAUAGAUCUUCAUAGCAACAACCAGUGGCUAAAUGCUGGCAAUCAUUAAUUUUUAAAGAAGACAUGGUUAUGAUGACUUGAGGAAUUAAGGCUAGUGGUGAAGAAUGAACUUUAAUUUUUGACACUUUUUUUUUUGGUUGCCUACUAAAGUGAGGCGACAGCAAGAUUAUAAAAAAUGGCCCAAAUCCCAGGUUCCUAAUACUUAAAAUGCUGUCUGCUCAUAAAAAGAUUUCAGUGAGGGAGAGGCCAUCUUUGAGCUCCCUGUAACAAAUGGGUAUCAGUGGCCCAUGAAAUAAUCAAUGCCACUAAUCCAUCCUAGGGCCUGCCAAUAUGUUAAUGGCCCUGGUGCAUCGUUAUUGCUACAUGACCAUAAAUCACGCCGGUACCAGAAUGCAUUGCUGUCGAGGCCUCAAACCCCUCGCCUGGAAUAAAAUGCUGCCUCCUAACAAUUAAUGUCCAAACAUUUUGCAGCUUUGUGCCUUGAUUGUUUUCAGAUGCUAAAAAAGUAAGUAGGACAGAGUGUAAAUCAAUAAAACUAUAAGACAAAGUGUUUUAAUAAUAGGAAGGUUCAGAGUAAAUCAUAGUUCUGUGUUUAUUAUUGCUUUUGGGGUUAUAAAUAAAGAGUUACUUUCUACUAUGCAGCAAAGCUACUAAGCUAACAUGGGGGACGGAGGCCAGGGCUAAUCUCUCUGAAUGUGGUUUCCUUCCCUUAUACCACCGUGGGAAACCAAAUCAGGCCAACUGGAGCCACAAAACCUGACUUUUUAUGGGAAGGCAGUGUCUGGUGUUCACUCUGUAUAAAAUUGGAUUCUGGAGUUCCUGCUAUGGCUCAGUGGGUUAAGAACCUGACUAGUAUACAUGAGGAGGUGGGUUUGAUCCCCGGUCUUGCUCAGUGGGUUCAGGAUCUGGUGUUGUUACAAGUUACAGUAUAGAUCACAGAUGCACCUGGGGUCUGGCAUGGCUGUGGCUGUGGCGUAGGCUGGCGGCUGCAGCUCUGAUUUGACCCCUAGCCUGGGAACUUCCAUAUGCUACAGGUACAACCCUAAAAAUAAAAAAAGAGGUUUUCCUGGAAAGCUUCAGGCUUCAAAUGGCCAGUAUGGUGAGAUUUUACCAUAUUUACCUAUGGUAACACAGGUGAUGGAAUGAUGUUAAAGCAGCACCCAAGUUGGUUUGGGGUGCCUACAAGCUUUUACUCGUGUUUGUUUCCAUUAAAACAUCUGACCUGGGAUGUCAGCUUGAGCCAUAGAAAUCCACAGCUGAACCAUAGGCAAACCUAAAAGACCUUAUUUAGGAAAAAGAGUUGCAGUCAAUUGAUCUGUUUUCCUUUGGUCACUGUCAAUUUGGUCCCCUAUCGAAGGUGUUGAGACGCAGAAUGGAAAGUCAUUAACUCCACCUUGUAAAAACAGUGUUGAUUCGUGCCCAUUACUGUGUUCCUUGUUCUACAGCUGUUACGUUUGGCAUGAACCCCUCUGCCUUAAUGAAGGGUAGGUGGCCAGCCUGGAAAGGUGGGCUUGUCACUUGCAUGGCAGCAACGAACCAAAGUCCGCUUGCUACGGACUGGCUGGUGAGUGGUGUCAACUGUGCCUGGAUGCUGACUAUGAGUGGAAUUGGGACCUUUAAUCCCGGCUGAGCCUGCUUCCUGAGCCAGGCUAAAUGUGGAAAUGAAUAAGAAUGUAAACUACCACAUGGAAACAGAGUUAGAAAAUGGGGUUUGGGAAUACCUUGAGCUUUUAGUCAGGUCUGUGAUGUUGAGAAGACACCAUGUUUCCACACAGCCACCCUGAACGGUCAUGCUCCCAAACACAUGCUUAGCCACUGUCAUGUAGCAGGUCAUCUCUUUCUGGCAGUUGUGUGUCCCCAGCGCCCAGCUCUGAUGAGGUUUCGUGGUUUAUUUUGGUGCUCAGGAAAUAGCACAGGAAAAGGCCAGAAAAACAACGGCUCCAUAUAGACAGAAAGACAAUUAAAACUGAUAUGACUCUUAACAGAAGUGGCAAGAGCAGGCAGGAUGGAAGUAAUUUAUUCAACGAAUUGUCCAAAUACAUAAAAUUGCACUGAUGUAUGGUGCAGCGGUGGGACAGUGGAAAAUUUGAUAGUUGUUUCCGUUGUGUGAAUUACUCAGACAGGAUGCCUUUGUGAAGUAUGGGGGUUUGUUUAAUGUUCUGACAACAAUUUAGAUCCUGUUAUGGUUAUUGCAGUGUAAUGCCAUAGUAAAAAUUGAACAUGACACACCAGCAAUUUAUUAUUUGUGUGUUUUUUAACCUUGGGUAUCGGAUUGUUUGUCCAAGCAUAUCCUUUGAUUUGCUAUGAAAUUUAUUGUUGAUAAAAACAAUCAGAUUUCCAUUAG
rnacentral:lncRNA from 1 species